rnacentral:rRNA from 1 species
GACGGAGGGUGCUAGCGUUGUUCGGAAUUACUGGGCGUAAAGGGCGCGUAGGCGGCCCUGUCAGUCGGAUGUGAAAGCCCGGGGCUCAACCCCGGAACGGCAUCCGAGACGGCAGGGCUGGAGACCGGGAGAGGAGAGUGGAAUAGCCAGUGUAGAGGUGAAAUUCGUAGAUAUUGGCUGGAACACCGGUGGCGAAAGCGGCUCUCUGGCCCGGUUCUGACGCUGAGGCGCGAAAGCGUGGGGAGCAAACAGG